CAUUGUGAAGCCCCAGAGAAUUCUCUGCCAAGGAUGGGAAACAUCUUUGUCUGCUAUGAGCCAUCUUGUCCUUCUCACCAUGCCACUCCAGCCUUUAAAGAUGUUGUCUUCUGGCCUUGGUAGUUCCUGAUGAGAAAUCAACAACCAUUCAAAUCAUUGUCCUCCUGUCCUGGAACCCUCUUACCUGUCAAUGACUUUCCCUCUUGGAAUUUGAGGGAACAACUGGAAUGCCCCCAGCUUUUCCCACAGAUGCUCUUCACCAAGAGUCCCGCAGUUUCCUGCCUCAACAGUGCUUGGACUGAACGGGCACUCAUCCCCCACCCUGCCUAGUGCUCAGAGCCAACCUUUCAUCGCCUCUUCACAGCUCCCUCAGACUACCCCAGCCUCCACCACCACCACCACCUCUCCUCAGCCAUGUGCUAUGAGGACCACGUCCCCCUCACAGGUAUGCCAGGACUACCACCUUGACUCAGAGGCCACCAUCAACCGCCAGAUCAACCUGGAGCUCUAUGCCUCCUACAUCUUCCUGUCCAUGUCUUACUACUUUGAGAUGAUGUGGCUUUGAAGAAUUUUGCCAAAUGCUUUCUUCACCAAUCUCAUAAGACGAGGAAACAUGCUGAGAAACGGAUAAAGCUGCAGAACCAACGAGGUGGCCAUUCCUUCAGGAUAUCAAGAAACCAGAUCACGAUGACUGGGAAAAUGGGCUGAAUGCAACAGAGUGUGUGUUACACUUGGGAAAAAGCAUGAAUCAGUCACUACUGGGACUGUACUCACAAACUGGCCACUGACGAAAAUAGCCCCCAUUUGUGUGCCCUCAUUGAGAGUCAUUACUUAAAUAAGCAGACAAAAUUCUUCAAAGAAUUGGAUGACCACUGUAACCAAUUUUUCCAUUAUGGGGUCCCCAGAAUCUGGCAUGGCAGGGUAUCUCUUUGACAAGCACACCCUGGAAGACAAUGAUAGGAAGAACUGAGCCUUAGGAUGUUUCCCAUAGCCAUGAGAGGACUUCCCUGGUCACCAGGCAGCGCAUGAAUGUUGGGGUUACAUUUAUCUUUUCUGUAAGUUGUACCAAAACAUCUACU
rnacentral:lncRNA from 1 species